CUUGCCAUGAUGUGACGUCACAGAUGCGAAACUAGCUCAGUAAAUUAUUCUACAUUGGGCAAACAUUUUUCAAUGAUAUGUAAAGAAAAGCCUUCCGAAGAUGGGACAAACGUGUUUUAAACAUUUUAAGGACUCAUUCCCAGUUUAUCCAAUUUUGGAAAGGGGAUUAGAUGGUACAAAGACAUCUCUACAAUGAAUGGUCACGUGAGCUGAUUUAAUGAAGAGUCUACUCCAGCAGUACUUCACGACAUUAACCCUGCGAAUCAAACCUAAAGUAAAGGAGAAAAUUUCUAAUGCAAUGCUGCCUUACAACGAUACAUGGCUGCCGUGAAAGCCUACUCUUUGCCCCUUACUUUGCAAGCAACAGCCAGCAGAACAACAGAGCAGGGAUUUCAAU